rnacentral:rRNA from 1 species
UACAGAGGGUGCAAGCGUUAAUCGGAAUUACUGGGCGUAAAGCGUGCGUAGUCGGUUAUUUAAGUCGGAUGUGAAAUCCCCGGGCUCAACCCGGGAAUUGCAUUCGAUACUGGAUAGCUAGAGUUCGGCAGAGGGAAGCGGAAUUUCUGGUGUAGCGGUGAAAUGCGUAGAUAUCAGAAGGAACAUCAGUGGCGAAAGCGGCUUCCUGGACCAGAACUGACGAUCAGGCACGAAAGCGUGGGGAGCAAACAGG